rnacentral:rRNA from 1 species
CAGCAGCCACGGUAAUACGGAGGGGGCUAGCGUUGUUCGGAAUUACUGGGUGUAAAGCGCACGUAGGCGGCUUGGUAAGUUAGAGGUGAAGGCCUGGAGCUCAACUCCAGAAUUGCCUUUAAGACUGCCGAGCUAGCAGGUGAGAGAGGUAAGUGGAAUUCCGAGUGUAGAGGUGAAAUUCGUAGAUAUUCGGAAGAACACCAGUGGCGAAGGCGGCUUACUGGCUCAUACUGGACGCUGAGGUGCGAAAGCGUGGGGAGCAAACAGGAUUAGAUACCCCUGUAGUCCCUGUCUCUUAUAA